GCAGUCGAGCGGUAGCACGGGGAGCUUGCUCCUGGGUGACGAGGGGCGGACGGGUGAGUAAUGUCUGGGGAUCUGCCUGAUGGGGGGGGAUAACUACUGGGGACCUAGCUAAUACCGCAUAACGUCGCAAGACCAAAGAGGGGGACCUUCGGGCCUCUUGCCAUCAGAUGAACCCAGAUGGGAUUAGCUAGUGGGGGGGGGAAUGGCUCACCUAGGCGACGAUCCCUAGCUGGUCAGAGAGGAUGACCAGCCACUCUGGAACUGACACACGGCACACACUCCUACGGGAGGCAGGAGGGGGAAAUAUUGCACAGUGGGCGCCAGCCUGAUGCAUGCCUGCCGCGUGUAUAAAGAAUGCCUUCGGUUUGUAAAGUUCUUUCAGCGAGGAGGAAGGUAUUAAGGUUAAUAACCUUAGUGAUUGACGUUACUCACAAAAAAACCACCGGCUAACUCCGUGCCAGCACCCGCGUAAAUACGGAGGGUGCGAGCGUUAAUCGUAAUUACUGGGCGUAAAGCGCACGCAGGCGGUUUGUUAAGUCGGAUGUGAAAUCCCCGGGCUCAACCUGCUAACUGCAUUCCAAACUGGCUAGCUUGAGUCUUGUAGAGGGGGGUAUAAUUCCAGGUGUAGCGGAGAAAUGCGUAUAGAUCUGGAGGAAUACCGGUGGCGAAGGCGCCCCCCUGGACAAAGACUGACGCUCAGGUGAGAAAGCGUGGGGAGCAACAGGAAUAGAUACCCUGUAGUCCCGCCGUAACGAUGUCUACUUGUGGUGCGUCCUUGAGGUUUGCUGCGCAACUACGCAUAAGUCGACCGCUGGGGAGACGCCGCAAGAUAAAACUCGAUGAUUGACGGCGCCCGACAGCGAGAGCAUGUGAUUAAUUCGAUGCACGCGAAC
rnacentral:rRNA from 1 species